CAAAUCUGGUUUAAUUAAUUGGAGUUUUCAGAUUUUUUGUCGAGGUCAUCGGAUUCCGGUCAAGGCUUUAGUUUGGUUCUUGCCGAUAUAAAUUUGUGGAAUCAAAGCAUUGAGGUCAAAUGGAGUGAUUGAAAAGCCUAACUUGAGUGAAAUUUCACAAGGAAUCCAUUGGAGGCAUCAAAAGCGAGCUUUUGGAUCAUUUAGCACCAGGAACGAGGCGGAACAGCUGGGCCUUUUGUCUAUUAAUGUUGCUUGGGGUUUCUCUCAUCUUGAAAGCUUGGGUUUGGAAGAAUUCAAGGAUGUUCUUCUAUGGGGUAAGGUCUAAACCAUAAUCUAAGUAUUUCCCUUUGAUUCAUUCCGUAGUUUUAAGCUUUAAUUCAUGAUUUCUAAAUUAGGAAAUUGGGGUUUUUCAUGAAAGAGGGUUUAAUGGGUCUUUCUUGAGAAGUUCAUAAAAUUGGUUAGACUUCCUAAGUUGCUUUAAAUGAUUAAAUUGAUUGGGUUUAUGCUAGAUUAUGAUAUAUCUAAGGUUGUUAAUCAUAUACCUUCCAUUAUUAGUGAUGAAUUCUUGAAUUUAAGAGUUAGGGUUUAUACCCUAAAUUGGAGGUUUUGCUUGAAUUUUGAAAUUGGAUGAAUUCUUGAAUUAAUUUAGCAAUUAGUUGAUGGGUUUUGAUCACCUAGUGUUUAAUUGGAUAAUUUACCCUCGAAUUUUCCAUUUUGCCCUUGUGGGCCCCAUUUCCCCAAAUUCUAGGGUCGGUUUUUUACCCAAUUAAAAUGAUAGCAAUAUAGAUAUCGUUCUUCAUGAUUUCUAAUAUAGAUUUCGAAUAUGAAUAUACUUUGAUUAUUUGGAGACUCAAAGGAAGGGAAAGUGUGUGGCUGACGGUUCAUGACUACUUAUUUCGGCAUUCCAGGUAGGUUACGGUUUACCCAUGUGGUGAUACUUCGACUGCCGAAGUGUACAUUUAGAAGAUAUUGUCGUAGUUUCAUGUAAACCUUCCGGUAUGAAGUUGGAUUGGAUUUUGCCUUAGGGUUUGUUAUUGCUUGUGACUUGUUUGAUCGGCCAUCGGCUCCGUAGACUCCAUAGGACCCUGUUUGGUACGUUGUGUAUAAAUUGGUGGAUUGUUUGUGAAUUGGGAGUAAAUCGGAAGGAUGAAAUUACUUGAUAUUGAUAUUGGUACUUAGUGUACGCCUCGUUAUUAGUAUAGCCAUUUUGGUAUAGUUUGCUCUUAUUGUUAUGAAAAUUGGAGAUUCAUUAUGAUUACUGUGUGGAUCCCUUAUUAAUGAUACUGAUGCGUUGUGUGUGGCACAACUUGAACUUGAUAUUAUUCAUUGUUUGUACUUGUAUCGUUCCAUACUCAUUUCAUAUCAUCUUAUUAUGCUGUGUGACUGCACUAUUGAUGGAAACGAGAAGGAACAUUGAGGAUUAUGGAACAUAGUAAGUCACCUCUGAGCUGUGUGCGGAGGGGCUGAUAUGGAACACUGAUAUUGCGACACUUGUAAAUAAUUAGGUCCUCUGAGCUGUGUGCGGAGUGACAAUGGUUGGACUUCGUGGGUCCCCCGUGGGUUGUGCUGCCGAGGAGUGGAGAUAUUCCGCUGUCAGAGUGCAAGAGUAUAGGCAUUGCAUUGCAUUCAUAUCUCAUAUGGCGUUGCUUGAUUAUGCUUCGUGGUUGAUGAUGAUUUGGAUAUGGUGUUAGUUACAUUCUUGGAUUGUAUUUGAUAUGCGCUACAUGUUGAUUUGUCUUGAUGGUACCUGGUUUUCUGUAUACUUGGAUAUUUGUUUCACUUGGGUUUAGUUGUUGCAUCAAGGCUUGAUUAUGUGAGUCAAUUUCUUAGAAGUAUGACCUGUAUUUUAUGGUUUGCUUGUUUUCUCUUACCUUGUUAUCUUUAUACAUGUCUGUGAUGGUUCACUUUUUCACGCGGGUUUAGGGCGAAAAAAGGCUACUACGAACUCGUUGAUGCUCUUUCGGACUUAUUUGAAAAAUAGUCGCCACCUAAUUUUUAGGAAAUUAGGAAAACCGAUUUUGAAGGGUUUAUUCAAAUGCAGUGAAAAAAACCUUCGUAAUCUAGUGUUUUAUGUAAGGGUUCUGAUGAUUCCCUGGGGAAGGUGUUAGUCACCCGAUUAUUAAGGAUCCGUACUAUAUGGUUGACCUUCGAAUUCCAGUGUAGGAGUAUUUGCUUAAACUGCUUAUUUUGUAUUUAUUUUCUCGCGAAAGAACUAUCAUCAAUAAAUCGCAUAUCAUAUGUUCCUUUGUGAAAAA